rnacentral:rRNA from 1 species
CAGCGCCACGAGUGGUAACCACGUUUAUUGGGCCUAAAGCGUCCGUAGCCGGUUUGAUAAAUCUUUUGUGAAAUUGUAUAGCUUAACUGUACAGCGUGCAAGAGACACUGUCAAACUUGAGACCGGGAGGAGUCAGAAGUAUUCCAGAGGGAGCGGUAAAAUGUUAUAAUCUCUGGAGGACUACCUGUGGCGAAGGCGUCUGACCAGAACGGAUCUGACGGUGAGGGACGAAAGCUAGGGGAGCGAACCGGAUUAGAUACCCGAGUAGUCC